rnacentral:rRNA from 1 species
AGACCAAGGGUUCCUGUCCAACGUUAAUCGGGGCAGGGUGAGUCGACCCCUAAGGCGAGGCCGAAAGGCGUAGUCGAUGGGAAACAGGUUAAUAUUCCUGUACUUGGUGUUACUGCGAAGGGGGGACGGAGAAGGCUAUGUUGGCCGGGCGACGGUUGUCCCGGUUUAAGCGUGUAGGCUGGUUUUCCAGGCAAAUCCGGAAAAUCAAGGCUGAGGCGUGAUGACGAGGCACUACGGUGCUGAAGCAACAAAUGCCCUGCUUCCAGGAAAAGCCUCUAAGCAUCAGGUAACAUCAAAUCGUACCCCAAACCGACACAGGUGGUCAGGUAGAGAAUACCAAGGCGCUUGAGAGAACUCGGGUGAAGGAACUAGGCAAAAUGGUGCCGUAACUUCGGGAGAAGGCACGCUGAUAUGUAGGUGAAGUCCCUCGCGGAUGGAGCUGAAAUCAGUCGAAGAUACCAGCUGGCUGCAACUGUUUAUUAAAAACACAGCACUGUGCAAACACGAAAGUGGACGUAUACGGUGUGACGCCUGCCCGGUGCCGGAAGGUUAAUUGAUGGGGUUAGCGCAAGCGAAGCUCUUGAUCGAAGCCCCGGUAAACGGCGGCCGUAACUAUAACGGUCCUAAGGUAGCGAAAUUCCUUGUCGGGUAAGUUCCGACCUGCACGAAUGGCGUAAUGAUGGCCAGGCUGUCUCCACCCGAGACUCAGUGAAAUUGAACUCGCUGUGAAGAUGCAGUGUACCCGCGGCAAGACGGAAAGACCCCGUGAACCUUUACUAUAGCUUGACACUGAACAUUGAGCCUUGAUGUGUAGGAUAGGUGGGAGGCUUUGAAGUGUGGACGCCAGUCUGCAUGGAGCCAACCUUGAAAUACCACCCUUUAAUGGCUGAUGUUCUAACGUAGACCCGUAAUCCGGGUUGCGGACAGUGUCUGGUGGGUAGUUUGACUGGGGCGGUCUCCUCCCAAAGAGUAACGGAGGAGCACGAAGGUUGGCUAAUCCUGGUCGGACAUCAGGAGGUUAGUGCAAUGGCAUAAGCCAGCUUAACUGCGAGACGGACAGGUCGAGCAGGUACGAAAGUAGGUCAUAGUGAUCCGGUGGUUCUGAAUGGAAGGGCCAUCGCUCAACGGAUAAAAGGUACUCCGGGGAUAACAGGCUGAUACCGCCCAAGAGUUCAUAUCGACGGCGGUGUUUGGCACCUCGAUGUCGGCUCAUCACAUCCUGGGGCUGAAGUAGGUCCCAAGGGUAUGGCUGUUCGCCAUUUAAAGUGGUACGCGAGCUGGGUUUAGAACGUCGUGAGACAGUUCGGUCCCUAUCUGCCGUGGGCGCUGGAGAACUGAGGGGGGCUGCUCCUAGUACGAGAGGACCGGAGUGGACGCAUCACUGGUGUUCGGGUUGUCAUGCCAAUGGCAUUGCCCGGUAGCUAAAUGCGGAAGAGAUAAGUGCUGAAAGCAUCUAAGCACGAAACUUGCCCCGAGAUGAGUUCUCCCUGACUCCUUGA